rnacentral:rRNA from 1 species
GACGAACGCUGGCGGCGUGCUUAACACAUGCAAGUCGAACGGAAAGGCCCUGCUUUUGUGGGGUGCUCGAGUGGCGAACGGGUGAGUAACACGUGAGUAACCUGCCCUUGACUUUGGGAUAACUUCAGGAAACUGGGGCUAAUACCGGAUAGGAGCUCCUGCUGCAUGGUGGGGGUUGGAAAGUUUCGGCGGUUGGGGAUGGACUCGCGGCUUAUCAGCUUGUUGGUGGGGUAGUGGCUUACCAAGGCUUUGACGGGUAGCCGGCCUGAGAGGGUGACCGGCCACAUGGGGACUGAGAUACGGCCCAGACGGCUACGGGAGGCAGCAGUGGGGAAUAUUGCACAAUGGGCGGAAGCCUGAUGCAGCAACGCCGCGUGCGGGAUGACGGCCUUCGGGUUGUAAACCGCUUUCGCCUGUGACGAAGCGUGAGUGACGGUAAUGGGUAAAGAAGCACCGGCUAACUACGUG